AUACACACUGCAUUCCUACCCACACAAAGGCAAUUCUGCAGAUAGCCAACACACCCACCUCACUGUGAAAUACAAGAGGAUGGUUUUUCAUCAAGUUCUCAGGGAAGAAAUAGGGUGGAAGGCAAAAGUGAACAACUCAACGCUAGAAAACCUUUUGAAGCUGGGAAUAGAAAAUAGAGAGAAGGUACAAAGACUGAGAUGGGGGGAGGGGGUUGUAAUUUCUCCUUCCUCCAGAGCUUAAAAAAAGUCCAUCUUGACUCCCGAAGCAGGGGAGCUCUCCACUCGCCACAGAACAGCAAAUCCGAGGGGCGGCUGGAAGAAGGCUGGGGAUCCGAGAAUGGAGGAUGGGAAGAGCUGAAGGGGGGGAGGGCCGCUUCGUACGUGGUGCUGGCUGUCCAGGUCGGGUCUUUGAUUUUUGCUUUGCCCCAUCCCUCUUUUCUAAAAUGUACUGACUUUAUCUUACAAACGAUACUAGCUCUGGUCCCACCCUAGCGAGCAGGGACAGGUGUAGGGAGGGAUGUCUGGCUGCCCGGGGUACAAAAUGGGAGUGGGGGCGGCAGCGUAAGGAAUGGGAACCGGCGAGCCCUCCUCCAAGGUUGAAGCGCUGAGCGAGAAGGGCUUUUAAAUGAGAGGUAGCAGGAGGGAAGCCCUUUCUGAGAGGGAGGAACUGACGGGGGACAAUAAGGAACCGUGAGGACCCUCGAAGGAUGAGCAGCCACCUCCUCAGGGAAUACCGGGAGGUGGAGGAGACGGCCCCGCCCCCUCCGGGAUGUACACGAGAGGCAGUGGGACAGUGCGGGAGGAUACCGGGGUCCCACCCUUGCUUUUCUCUCGGAAACCCAGUUUCCCAGCAGUCACCAAGUCCCAGCAUUAGGGGAUCCUACCUUUUCCCGGCGCUCCGGGCUCCGCUCCCGGCCGCCUCCGCCACCCGCUCCCUAUCCACAGCCCCCGAGGCCCCACCCCCUCAACCGCCAGGAAGGGACAUUGGCAUGCAUUCUGGCCAAUCACCACCUCGCCUCUUCAGCGCCGCCACCAAUCCACACUGGCUGGAGGAGGAGCUUCUCCAAUGUCAUUUAGGCUCCUCCUGGAGCCCCAAGAUCCCUUUUGUUUGGGGAGAACCGGGCUGGGAUUGAGCUCACGUCAGUUCCGGUAGGAAGCACCCUCCUCCGGCCCGCACGAAGGUGGGUCUGGGUCCUGCCGCUUUCCAGCUUCUUUACCGUUGCUGGACAGGCCCCUGACAAGGGCUUCAUGCUUCGCCCUAGUGGUAGGGGAAGCUGAGGAAUGGCGGGCUUCUGGUGUCCGGAGUGUGAUUUCAUCCACAUUGUUUAGAAAAGUAAGCUUUGGUAUCUGCUUUAGAAAUAGUUAUUGAAAACUCAGUAACGUGGCUUCCCUGCUCCCGCUUUUUUCCUUGGACGCGCCUUAAGGUGUGCUGGAAGCAAGGGUACAAAGAUGAAAUAUCAGGAGACCAUCCUUCUCUCUUCACAUUAUAUGCAGAAGAGGAUGCUAGCUGUGGAAAUUCUGCAGUGGGUCAUAGGAUUGCACCAGAGGGGCCAUAAACCCAGCCGACCUGCCUGCCUUCCAGGCCUUGUCUCUGUAUACUAUCCACCAGGUUGGGGGCAAGGGGGAAAAGGGAAGGAAUGGGGGAGGCCGCCUUCAAGGCAGAAGUCUAAUAAUUGCAAAUUUGUGUGUCAAGGUUUCCACACCACGCUUGCCAGAUGAGAAGACAAUUUCAUGUUGGUCGCCCCAUUAUACUAUGGGAUGACGGUGUUUGCAGUGAAGUUGGAACAAUGGACAGCCUAGAGUAUACAUGUCUGGCCCUCCAUGUGGAAACAAGAGGAACACAUCUUGCUGAUGAUAGCAAGCCUUAAAAAACCCAGGUGCCCUUGAGACGACUCUUACUCAUGGUGACCUCUUGUAGGACUGUGCCCCAUAGGGUUUUCAGUGGCUGAUUUUUUGGAGGUAGAUUGCCAGGCCUUUCUUCUGAGAUGCCUCUGGGUGGAUGUGAACCUCCAACCUUGGUUAGCAACCGUGUAUUAAUUGCACCACCCAGGACUUCAGCAGCAAGCCCUAGGUAGGACCAGAUAGCCCAGAGAGGGGAGAGAAUGAUGGUAGACCUAGCUGUAUCCUUCCUGGAGGUCAAAGUUGCUAGAACACUUUUCCAUAGACUGCACUCCAGCUCAUAGAUUGAUUCAGCUGGUUAAAAUAAUAACCAUCACAUUAUUUUUCAUAUAACAAUACAAUUAGUAGUUGUCAUUAAACAAGACAAUAUUAGGGGCUAGUCCUCACCUAAGCAGACACAGUUCUCAAGGCAGAUGCAGCCUUGUCCUCAUGUAGUUUACAGUCUGGUGGAGGGAUUUGAUCCACCUGAGCAAUCAUAGUGAAGUUUGAAGAAAAUAAGCCCGUAUUUAUCAUGUUACCACUGUGCCAGGUACUUUCACAUAAUAUUUAAUCACUAUGAUAAAUCUGUAAACCCUGGUGGCACAGUGGUUAAGAGUUCAGCUGCUAACCAAAAGGUCGGCAUUUUGAAUCCACCAGGUGCUCCUUGGAAACCCUAUGGGGCAGUUCUACUCUGUCCUAUAGGGUCACUAUGAGUUGGAAUUGACUCAAUGGCAAUUGGAUUUGGGUAUAUGAUAAAUCUAUUCUACCGUCUAAGAGAGACAUCACAUGUGUCCAUUUUACAGAUGAGAAAAUAGAGAUUUAGAAGAAUCAAGCAAGGUCAUAGAGCUAGUAAAUGGUAAAGGACUUGCAACCAAGGACGUAUGACUUCAGACCUAUGCCAUUUUCUGCUCACUACGCACUGGCUCUCACAAAACUGAACAGGCCAGAGAAUGGGCAUGGAUGACUAUAAAGUCAGCAUCAGAGCCAGAAAAACAAUUCCAUGUCUACCCCUGUUGAUCGUAGCUUUGAGACCAUCAUCUCUAUAGGCGAAGGACAGAAAAACUAUGUACUAAGGUUCACAGCAGGAGCCCAAGUGCUUUUCCAAUAAAAACAAAGAAGAUACAGAAUUUCAGAAAGACAUUUUGCCUGGGUUUAGGAAACUGACAGUCUGAAAAACAAGAUGAAGGGCCAGGCACACAGUAAAUGCUCAGUAAAUACUGACUGGACUUGAAACAAAAUGUCUGAAGUGGUUACAAAACAAGAGCGUUAGGUGCUGGAAUAGGCCCACAAAUUUAUAAAAUCCCAUUUCUUUCUCCUCCUCCUCCCCUUUGCUCUGCCUAUGGGUGUGUAAGGAAGUGCCUCAUUGCCUCACAACGAGGCAGAUGUGGGAGAAUAGGCUACUGGCUUCUGAGUCAUUCUGAGUUGUCCUAGUGAGUCAGUCCCUUCCUCCCUUUCUCCCUCCCUUUGUAGCUGUUAACUCGCUACCACCCUUUCUACUCCCAGCCAGAGAGGGUGCCCUGUAGCCUACUUCCUUUAUAGUAAUCGGCAGCUCUCCCGACUCCCAGAGCUCCCUCUUGCGCAUACCUGAGGGGCAUGGGAGGGCCCAGCAGAAUGAGAUCAUCAGCACCUGACAGGAUUCAGAAUCCUGAGGGUGUUCAGAUUGUUUUCUUUUGAAAUUCAUCACCCCUGGAGGUAGUGAAUAGGUGAAGCUUCUGAACCUUACAUGACCUUCAGUUGGCAGCACUGGGAGACGGUUGUGAGAUUUUGUGAUUCUUCAGUAUAUAAAACUUGCACAAAUAAAUUUAGAGUCUGGUACAAAGGCACGUACAGUGGUAGAGACUCAGCUCAUAAUAAUAUCUUAAAAUAUGUCCAACAAAAUAUAACUUUUUCAUAUCUAAUGUUUUAUCAAGUUGUCAGCAAAUGUUUAUUAAAUGACUGUGUGUCAGGCAACAACCUAGUAAAGAAGUGUGGAAAGAUUAUAGAUUGUGUCUGUUUUUCUUCAAAUAGGUAAACUUCCUAGGUAGGUGUUCCACAAAUGUUUAUUGCUGGUUUGGGGAGGCAAUGAUGUAAAAGAGGGCAAGACUGGAAUUUAUAGUAAAUAAAAAUCCUGAGUUCUAGUUCUCGGCAAAGUGGUCUCCCCACUUACCUCUAUUUAACCUCAUUGGUAAAUAACACAAAAAUAAUGGACUAAUUCCCCAAAAUCAUUCAGUGCUAUGAUUAUAUGGUAGUUAUACAUGCUAUUUAUCAAGCUUUUACUAUAUGCCAGGCCCUGUGUAAAUUGCUUUACUUAAUACACCUGAUUUAACCCUUAAAAGAAUCCUGUACCAUAGACAUUAAUAUUCCCAUUUUAUGGAUGAGGAAAUUGAGGCACAAAGAGGUCCAUGAUCUCAGAUAAUAAACGACUGAUGCAGAAUAUUUACUCAGAUAUGAAUCCAAGGUUUGUCUUCUUAGUUGCUAUGGUCUGUCAUCUCUCUGGAGACUCUGGGUGGCACAAAUGGUUAUGUUCUUGGCUAUUAACUGAAAGGUUGGUGAUUCGAACCCAGCCAGAGGUACCUUGGAAGAAAGGCCUGACGAUCUGCUUCUGAAAGCUUGCAGCCAUGAAAACGCUGUGGGGCAGUUCUACUCUGCAACACAGGGGGUCACUAUGAGUGGAAACUGACUUGAUGGCAACUGAUUCUGGUGAUCAUCUCUCCAUUAUGCCUAGAGGGGUUAAGAAGUGGAGAAUGCAACAAAUAUUUUAAAAAUUCAUUGACAUAAUACUUGGAGUGGAGUAGCAAUCUUCUUGGGAUUAUAUGUAUGAUUUUGAUUUUAAAACUUGAGAAGGCAAGAGAAGAGGGAUAGUGAGUAGCAGUGAAGGCUUAGUAAGGAAGAGGAGAGUUUUGGGCACUUACCUGAACCUCAAUGUCCUCAUUUUAAAAAUGGAAUAAUAGUCUCUGCCUAUACCAGAUGGCUGUGAAUAUCCAAGUGAGAUUAUACAAAAUAAUUUAGUAAACUCUAUGGAGAGAUUGGAAACCCUGGUGGCAUAGUGGUUAAGUGCUACAGCUGCUAACCAAAAUGUCUGCAGUUUGAAUCCACCAGGUGCUCCUUGGAAACUCUAUGGGGCAGUUGUACUCUGUCCUAUAGGGUCGCUAUGAAUGGGAAUGGACUCGUCGGCAAUGGGUUAUGGACAGAUUGGAGCCGUGGUGGUGCAGAGGUUAAGAACUAUGGCUGCUAACCAAAAGGUCAGUAGUUCAAAUUAACCAGCCAUUCCUUGGAAACCUGAUGGGGCAGUUCUACUCUGUCCUGUAGGGUUGCUAUCAGUUGGAAUUUACUUGACGGCAACAAGUUUGGGUUUUGUUUGUUUUGUGAGAGAUUAAAAUGAGCCACCUGGGAGACCUUGCUCAAGUUCUUUCUCCUCUCUGAGCUUUAGUGCUCCAGCUAAACAACUGGGGACUGCACAUCUGGGGCUCCUUCUAACUGCGACCCAGUAGGACUUACUAAGAUGUUAUAUGUAGAAGUUGGAGUGAAUAGGAAAAGUGACCUGGACUGUCUUUUUCUGCCUUUUCUCCUCAAGUCGCUACCUCCCUUCUACACAACUACUAGGGAACUAGAGGUUUCAAGCACAGAAGCUAGAGAGUGGUGCCACUAGGGUUGGUGUCACUCAGUGUGGUAGCUUAUGGUGUUACCCCCACCCGCUGUGCACCUGCUUCAGUACCAAACCAUACAGAAUCCUUAGGAAUGUUUUUUGUACUGAUGUUACUAGUAAAAUUGUAAUUCCCAUAUAUCAUUCCUUCUUUAAUUUCUACUUCAUUCUCAAAAAAGUUAUUGAUAUAGGUUGAAAUACUAAUUACCAUAAUAUUGUAGCUAAAACACCAGAAUAUUUGACAAAAUCAGCGACUAUGAAAACACCAGCAGCAACUGAAACGACAGCAUGUGUGCUUGUAUCAUGUACAGUCAACACUGUGAUUCCCGGUGUUGUCGUAAUUGGGUAAUAAUGACUGACAGCUCUGACCACAGCGUGUUAAAAAGUUCAAAAAGUAAAUUAGCAUAGAGUUUUAGCCUUGUAGGUACAUUGAUACGUAUAAGCUGGGCUUAUGAAAAAUGCCUUUGUUUUUAUAACUAACUAUAGGGAUAUUUUUGUAGACAGAAGCCAGAGAGUAUUCUCUAACCCUGGGCCAGGCUGAAGCUGGAGGGAUGGCAAGCUCUUCACUGCUCCCUGCAUUUUGCCCAUCAUCUGUUCCCACAAAAGCCUUUCUCAGUAGCAUUGAGCAUUCUUUUCCUGCUUGGAUCUGCCCAGUCUGGAUGACUUGUGCUUCGGAGUUUAGAGAUUUCUGGGUGUGGCUCUAACUGUGUGUCCAAGCUUUUUGCUCCCCCUAGUGCAGAGUGAUGAGUCCUGCAGCUGCCGGCUUCCCUCUCGGCCAUCUCCUGUGUCCUUCCUGGACCAGCACAAUUUGUCCUUUUAUGGGCUGGCGGUUCAAAAACCCACCUUCAGGGACAGACUCUUUUGGGGCCAGCUUGACCAUACGGAACUGAGAAACGUUUACUCUGGACCAGGAGUGGAUUAUCCAAUAAACAAGGACUGUCUGGCAGCCCUUCCCAAGGACCAGGAAACUGGGGCCAUGUGGUCCUUUGGAUCUCUAGACCUGAGAUAGAGUGGCAGUGAAAAGCAGGUGCACCAUCAGAUGACAGCACCUCUGCAGCUGAUUGCAUCUGCCUGGAAUACCAACUGUGGCAGUUCUGGUCUUGACCACAGUGUGGGAGGCACAGGAGAAGGAACAUGAAAUACAGAAGUCUGUCAGUCUGAGAAGGUAAAAUCUCAUUGUAUGAAUAUUCCACAAUUUGUUUAUCUGCUCACCUAAACAUGAACAUUUGGGUUAUUCCCAGUUUGGGACUAUUAUGAAUGAAGCUUCUAUGAUCAUUUAUAUACAAGUCUAUUUAUGGAUAUAUUUUUACAUUUUUCUUGGUAAAUGCCCAAGGUUGGAAUUGCUUGGUCAAAUGUUAAGUAUAAGUUUAAAAGAAACUGCUGAAUGUUUUCCCAAAGUAGUUGUACCAUUUUUGCACUUUUUUUUUUUUACCAAUAAUAUUUGAAAUUUCCAGUUGCCGUAUAUUCCCACUGCAUUUGGUAUUGUUACUGUUUUUAAUUUUUAGGUGUUCUAUUGUGCUUUUAAUUUACAUUUAUCUGAUGACUAAUGAUUGAGCAACUUGCCAUUAUUGGCCAUUCAUUGAGUCUGUUUCUGGUCUGUUUGGUCCCAUUUGUACAUUUGUCUAUCCUUACUCCAAUAUUACAUUAUGUUGAUUAUUGUAUUAUAUGAUAAAUCUUCAAAUCAGGUAAUGUAAGUCUUCCAAUUUCGUUAUUCUUUUUCAAAACUCUUUUGGCUAUUCUAAGUCUUUUGAAUUUCCAUAUGAAUUUUAGGGUCACCAUGUCAAUUUCUACAAAAUAAAGCCUACUGGGAUUUUUAUUGGAAUUAUGCAGACUCAUAUGGAAAGAAUUACCAUUUUAACAAUAUUGUAACUUCUAGUCCAUGAACAUAAUAUUACCUCUCCAUUUAUUUUAGGUCUUCUUUAAUUUCUCUCAGCCAUGUUUUCUAGUUUUUACUACAUAGAUUUUUCACAUAUUUUGUUAAAUUUAUAUAUUUUAUAUUUUGAUUCAAUUUUAUGAUGUGCCUUGGUUUUUCAUGUUUCUUGUGCUUAGGGUUCAUUGAACUUCUUGGAUCUGUGGUCUUGUGAUUUUCAUAAAAUUUAGAAAAAUUUAGGCCAUUAUUUCCUCAAAUAUUUUUUCUUUCUUCCCUUUUCUCUUUUUUUCCUUUGGGAUCCAAUUAUAUGUAUAUUAGACCAUUUGAAGUUGUCUCACAUUUCAUUAAUGCUGUGGUCAUUUUUUCAGUCUUUUUUCUUUCUGUAUUUCAUUUUGGGUAGUUUCUAUUGCUAUAUCUUCAAGUUCAUUAAUUUUUCUUUUUUAGUGUCCAAUAUGCUGUCAUUUAUCCCAAGAAUUUUAUUUUUUACUUUUAGAAAUUUGAUUUGGGGCUUUUUUUUUAUAUACUGUAUGUUUCUACUUAACAUAUUCAAUGUUUCCUUUACCUUCUUGAACAAAUGGAAUAUAAUAUAUUUUUGAGGUUUGUUCUAGGAUGUAGUUAAGUUACUUGGAAACCGAUCCUUCCAGGCUUUCUUCGUUAGCCAUGGCCAGAGCAGCCCUUAGACUUGGGCAAAUUUUCUCUGUCCUUUAGGGUCACUCUGAGUCAGAAUUGACUUGAUGGCAAUGGGUUUUUUUUUUUUUAUUAAGAUGAUACUUUUCUGAAUACUCAAUAACCUAUGCAUUGAAUAAUUAUGUUCAACUCUGGCUGGUAGGAACAUAAUUAUUCCUGGCCCUGAGUGAUCUCUAGGGAUUGUUCCUUCUGCUUUUUUCAGGUGGAUUUUUCCUUCAACCUUGGGUAGUUUCCUUACAUGCAUGUACUGAUCAGUACUCAGCUGAAGUCUCGAGGGAAACCCUCUAAAUCUGUCUCUCUCUAGCUUUCUCUAUGAUGCUCUGCCAUGGAAACUCUAGCUGCCUUGGCCUCCUUGGACUCCCAGCAUGAACUUAGGAACUAGAGGAUACUUCUCCAUUCUGCCUGAGUUUCUCCUACCUGUGCUGAAUGAAGCCUGGAAACUGCUUCCUACCAUAAACCGGAAAAUUGUGGAACUCACCAUGUUUCCGCUUAGGGAUCGCUGUCCCGAGCCGCCUAAUGUCUAAUGUCUAAAAACUGUUCUUUUGUAUAUAUUUUUUCUGACUUUUUAGUUGUUCCAAGUGGAAGGGUAAACCCAACCCUUUUACUCUAUGUUGAUCAGAUUUAGAAGUCCUGGUGCUAUUUUAAAUGGUAUUAAAGUUUUAAAAAUAUCCUAAUUAUUCAUUCAUAGUAUAUGGAAAAACAAUAGAUUUUUGGUUUUUGACCUAUGUACUGCAAACUUGCUAAAUUCACUUAUUAGUUUUCACAUAUUUUGGUAGAUUCCUAUUAUGGAUUGAAUUG